rnacentral:rRNA from 1 species
AAACAGGAUUAGAUACCCUGGUAGUCCACGCUGUAAACGAUGAUCACUAGCUGUUUGCGAUACAUUGUAAGUGGUUAAGCGAAAGCGAUAAGUGAUCCACCUGGGGAGUACGUCGGCAACGAUGAAUACUCAAAGGAAUUGACGGGGGCCCGCACAAGCGGAGGAGCAUGUGGUUUAAUUCGAUGAUACGCGAGGAACCUUACCUGGGCUUGAACGUAUGGUGCAUGAGUGUGAAAGCACUCUUUCCUUCACAGGACUUCAUACGAGGUGCUGCAUGGUUGUCGUCAGCUCGUGCCGUGAGGUGUUAGGUUAAGUCCUGCAACGAGCGCAACCCCUGUUUUUAGUUGCCAGCAGGUUAUGCUGGGCACUCUAGAAAGACUGCCUGCGCAAGCAGAGAGGAAGGUGGGGAUGACGUCAAAUCAGCACGGCCCUUACGUCCAGGGCUACACACGUGCUACAAUGGUCGGCACAGAGGGUGGCUACCCGGCAACGGGAUGCUAAUCUCCAAAGUCGAUCUUAGUUCGGAUCGAAGUCUGCAACUCGACUUCGUGAAGUUGGAUUCGCUAGUAAUCGUAUAUCAGCCAUGAUACGGUGAAUACGUUCCCGGGCCUUGUACACACCGCCCGUCAAGCCAUGGAAGUUGGGGGUACCUGAAGUCGAUUACCGUAAGG